AACACCUUAGAGAUGCAGUUGUUGAUGCAGUCAAUCAAAACUUAACUGUACAGCAAAAGGCCCAAUGUGCAGACAGCAGUUGUAAGCCUGUUUGCACAACACUGGAAUCCACGGACAAGGCAAAACAGAUGUCGCCUAUGUCUAACAGUAACAAUGAUACGUUAGAUUCAUUCCUUUCGCCAGGGACAAUUAUCCAGCUUCUUCGAAGCCCUAAUGCAGAAAGGCUCACUUGUGCUGCAAUGACCAGCAUGUUUACUACUAGUGAACUUGCAGCUGGGUUGGUAACCGGCCAACGCUUAAAAAAGGAGGACAAAGAUCGGCCAGUGUUGGACCAA